rnacentral:rRNA from 1 species
GAUGAACGCCGGCGGCGUGCCUAAUACAUGCAAGUCGAGCGAACGGACGAGAAGCUUGCUUCUCUGAUGUUAGCGGCGGACGGGUGAGUAACACGUGGAUAACCUACCUAUAAGACUGGGAUAACUUCGGGAAACCGGAGCUAAUACCGGAUGAUAUUUUGAACCGCAUGGUCCAAAAGUGAAAGACGGUCUUGCUGUCACUUAUAGAUGGAUCCGCGCUGCAUUAGCUAGUUGGUAAGGUAACGGCUUACCAAGGCAACGAUGCAUAGCCGACCUGAGAGGGUGAUCGGCCACACUGGAACUGAGACACGGUCCAGACUCCUACGGGAGGCAGCAGUAGGGAAUCUUCCGCAAUGGGCGAAAGCCUGACGGAGCAACGCCGCGUGAGUGAUGAAGGUCUUCGGAUCGUAAAACUCUGUUAUUAGGGAAGAACAUAUGUGUAAGUAACUGUGCACAUCUUGACGGUACCUAAUCAGAAAGCCACGGCUAACUACGUG